AGAGUUUGAUCAUGGCUCAGGAUGAACGCUAGCGGCAGGCCUAACACAUGCAAGUCGAGGGGUAGAGGAAGCUUGCUUCCUUGAGACCGGCGCACGGGUGCGUAACGCGUAUGCAAUCUGCCUUGUACUGAGGGAUAGCCCAGAGAAAUUUGGAUUAAUACCUCAUAGCAUUAUGAAAUCGCAUGGUUUUAUAAUUAAAGUUCCAACGGUACAAGAUGAGCAUGCGUCCCAUUAGUUAGUUGGUAAGGUAACGGCUUACCAAGACGAUGAUGGGUAGGGGUCCUGAGAGGGAGAUCCCCCACACUGGUACUGAGACACGGACCAGACUCCUACGGGAGGCAGCAGUGAGGAAUAUUGGUCAAUGGACGCAAGUCUGAACCAGCCAUGCCGCGUGCAGGAUGAAGCAUCUAUGGUGUGUAAACUGCUUUUGUACGGGAAGAAACACUCCUACGUGUAUGAGCUUGACGGUACCGUAAGAUUAAGGAUCGGCUAACUCCGUGCCAGCAUCCGCGGUAAUACUGAGGAUUCAAGCGUUAUCCGGAAUCAUUGGGUUUAAAGGGUCCGUAGGCGGCUUUAUAAGUCAUUGGUGAAAGCCCAUCGCUUAACGAUGGAACGGCCAUUGAUACUGUUGAGCUUGAAUUACUUGGAAGUAACUAUAAUAUGUAUUGCAUCGGUGAAAUGCUUACAUAUUACAUGGAAUACUAAUUGCUAACGCAUGUUACUUACAAUU
rnacentral:rRNA from 1 species